UACGGGGGGGGCAAGCGUUGUUCGGAAUUACUGGGCGUAAAGGGCUCGUAGGCGGCCAACUAAGUCGGACGUGAAAUCCCUCAGCUUAACUGGGGAACUGCGUCUGAUACUGGAUGGCUUGGAUUUGGGAGAGGGAUGCGGAAUUCCAGGUGUAGCGGUGAAAUGCGUAGAUAUCUGGAGGAACACCGGUGGCGAAGGCGGCAUCCUGGACCAAUAUUGACGCUGAGGAGCGAAAGCUAGGGGAGCAAACGGG
rnacentral:rRNA from 1 species